rnacentral:rRNA from 1 species
UGGGGAAUAUUGGACAAUGGGCGCAAGCCUGAUCCAGCCAUGCCGCGUGAGUGAUGAAGGCCCUAGGGUUGUAAAGCUCUUUCAGCGAGGAGGAUAAUGACGUUACUCGCAGAAGAAGCCCCGGCUAACUUCGUGCCAGCAGCCGCGGUAAUACGAAGGGGGCUAGCGUUGUUCGGAAUCACUGGGCGUAAAGCGCACGUAGGCGGACUUUUAAGUCAGGGGUGAAAUCCCGGGGCUCAACCUCGGAACUGCCUUUGAUACUGGAAGUCUGGAGUCCGAGAGAGGUGAGUGGAACUCCGAGUGUAGAGGUGAAAUUCGUAGAUAUUCGGAAGAACACCAGUGGCGAAGGCGGCUCACUGGCUCGGUACUGACGCUGAGGUGCGAAAGCGUGGGGAGCAAACAGGAUUAGACACCCUGGUAGUCCACGCCGUAAACGAUGGAAGCUAGCCGUCAGGGUGCAUGCAUCUUGGUGGCGCAGUUAACGCAUUAAGCUUCCCGCCUGGGGAGUACGGUCGCAAGA